GGGAGUUGGAGUUUUGACUAUUGUCAGGGCAGAUAUUAUAUCAGGAAUGAUCAGUUCAGGAGAAUUCAUUAAUAUUUUGUCCAUCAGGACAAUAAAGAACUCCCAGGGGACUUGUUGAGUUAUGGAAGUAUUUUAGACCAUUAAAAGAAAGGAGUGAUAAGUAAAAUGAGACAAUUUCCUAUAUAUAAAGUUGAAUCUCAGAUGAGGAUAAAUAUAUACUGUGUGUAUUGUUAACAUUUGAUAGUUUAAAUGGAACAGAUAGUUUUCAAGUAAUUAGUAUUACAACAACCUGAAUGUCUGUGAGGUAAAAUAGUCCGUCAGUGAAUUUGUUUCGGGACAAUUACAAUUUAAAAGAUAGCAGAAACUUGUUUGACAGUUUAUCCCAGAGACUGAAAUAUUUAACGUUAUGUUGUCAAAGUAUUGGUUUUUCAAUAUUUGUCAAGUUGACAGACAGUAAAUUUGAACAGUAUAAUAAUUCGGAUUAAGGCGAAGUGUACGUAAUUAACUACUCCACAGAAUUUUUUUAAAUUUUACAUGUGGAUUCUGCUUGUAAAAAUACAUCAGACAAUAAAAUAAAAAAAGGGG